GGGCCCGUAACUCAGUCUGGCUAGAGUGGCUGGCUCUUAACCAGUUAGUCGCGGGUUCAAAUCCCGUCGGGCCCG
rnacentral:tRNA from 1 species